rnacentral:lncRNA from 1 species
AUGCUAGCAUAAACCUUCCCUAUUCAAAAAAAAUUAGAUAUUCUGCUUGAAAUAAUUUGUAGGAAAUCCUUAUGCUCUUGCUCAGAAAGAAAGGAAAGUUGAUAGCAAUGAUUGAGUUAGAGACUCUCCUGCCUUCAUGUCAGUGAUGAGUCUUUCUUGGGUUAGUUGAAGUCUAAUAGAAUGUGCCUCUAGCUAAGGCUUAUUUAUAAAAUUUGCAAAUU